UACGUAGGGUGCAAGCGUUAUCCGGAAUUAUUGGGCGUAAAGAGCUCGUAGGCGGUUUGUCGCGUCUGCUGUGAAAACUGGGGGCUCAACCCCCAGCCUGCAGUGGGUACGGGCAGACUAGAGUGCGGUAGGGGAGAUUGGAAUUCCUGGUGUAGCGGUGGAAUGCGUAGAUAUCGGGAGGAACACCAGUGGCGAAGGCGACUUCCUGGCCUGUUCUUGACGCUGAGGCGCGAAAGCUAGGGGAGCAAACGGGG
rnacentral:rRNA from 1 species